UACGGAGGGUGCAAGCGUUAAUCGGAAUUACUGGGCGUAAAGCGUGCGCAGGCGGUUUGUUAAGUCUGUUGUGAAAUCCCCGGGCUUAACCUGGGAACUGCAUUGGUGACUGGCGGGCUAGAGUAUGGCAGAGGGGGGUAGAAUUCCACGUGUAGCAGUGAAAUGCGUAGAGAUGUGGAGGAAUACCGAUGGCGAAGGCAGCCCCCUGGGCCAAUACUGACGCUGAGGAGCGAAAGCGUGGGGAGCGAACAGG
rnacentral:rRNA from 1 species